UCCAGAGUAAAUAGCUAAUUGAACUGCAAGAGGGUGUUCACAUCACUCAGAGCUACUCUUUCAGGAUGUCUGCAUACUCAGAUUUUUAAUCGGUUUAGAUUCUGACGCUUUUCUUUUCAACUAUAAAUGGUUAGGUUCUUGGGGGGGGGGGGUUCCCCCUUUCCAAAUAGAGAAUGCAUAGACUCUGGAGCACAAAGUGCAAGCUUCCAGAUCCAGGGAAAAGGACUAGUUCAAUGAGAUGCAGUGGACUGUUUAAAUCCAGGAUUUGACUAUUUCUAUAAAGAGUUGGUAGGUAAUUAGUUAGUUGGCUGCAAAAACUGAUGCUAAUCUGAAAAGUUGUUAGGAUUGGAAGUUUUAUUCUUUUUAUAUUUCUUAUUUUAGGUAUAAUAAUAUAGUAGUAAUGUAGCAAUAAUAUAGCAAUAUAAGGCAUAUAUAUAUUAACAUACAAAUUAAAGCCCUUUCAGUUGAAGGUCUAUUUUCUUUGUUCUGAAGUUAGUAAAUGUUCUAAAGUAGAAAAACAGUUCUGGGUAUUGUGGCUGUGUUAAUAAGAUCAGAGGAAUUCUGCUAAUGUUGAAUGCCAAGCUUUAAUUGUUCAAUUUACAACGCUUUCGCUUUGCCAUGCAGAUCUGCAACCUCAGAAAGUUGUGUGUAUGUUAGGAGUAUGAAUGUGUCAAGAUAAGAUGCAAAGUUAUAUGACUUUAGAACCAGAUGGCCAAAGAAGGGGGGUGACUGAGCAUGGGCAAGGCCAGAGCAUGAGACAACCUGGCUGCAGAGGAGCCAUCUAUAACCACCGGUGUAUACCCACUACUCACAAGAAGAUUGGAUAAUUGGCAGAUUGACAACCUUAAAGUGGAGCAAGCACCCCGAAAGGACAUUGAUUACAGGAUGAACCUUCAAGAGAUGUUUGGGAAAAAUUGACAUCAACAAGAUAACAUUCCGGUCACAAGCUGACAGAGCGGGAUCCAUGGAUUUUAACAGAGAAGAAGGAUUAUAUAAAGCAGGGUGCUUUGCUAUGGAACUUUGGGUUUCGUCUUGCCAAGACACCAUCCCGAGAGGAGCACCAACCGACAAAGGCCCCGCUCCCCCUUGCGUUAGAUCUAGCUGGCCACUAGAUUGACACAGACUCUGGACUGGAGGAGAAAUGCUGGACUGCUAAGGGCUCUGACUGUUGCAGGAGAUGGCAGAGAAGGAACUGAGUGGGGGAUCACGCAACUUGCAGCCAACAGACAAAUGGUGCACUAGGCGGCUGUGCAUGCAUGUCGCAUCCAAAUCCUGCUAAGAAAAUUCCUCAAUCAGCAGGCCCUGGGGUACACUGACGCCUAAUGUAGAGCACCCACAGGGACAUCACUCAAAGACGACCAUGGAGUUAUUAGAAUUGCUCCAUGCAGUAAAUGUGUCAGUGCUUUAGUACAUCAUCUAUAAACUUUAAAGUUACAGCUUUGUAUGAACUGUGUUUGUAUGCUUAGACGUCAAUAAUAAGUUACCUUAUAGUA